GACGAACGCUGGCGGCGUGCUUAACACAUGCAAGUCGAACGAAGUGGCGAACGGGUGAGUAAUGCGUAAUCAACCUGCCCUUAAGAGGGGGACAACAGUUGGAAACGACUGCUAAUACCGCAUACGGAAGGAGGGGAUUGCGUCUUAUUAGCUAGUUGGAGGGGUAACGGCCCACCACGGCGAUGAUCAGUAGCCGGUCUGAGAGGAUGAACGGCCACAUUGGUACUGAGACACGGCCUCGACUCCUACGGGAGGCAGCAGUGGGGAAUCUUCGGCAAUGGACGAAAGUCUGACCGAGCAACGCCGCGUGAGUGAAGAAGGUUUUCGGAUCGUAAAACUCUGUUGUUAGAGAAGCGGUAUCUAACCAGAAAGCCACGGCUAACUACGUGCCAGCAGCCGCGGUAAUUC
rnacentral:rRNA from 1 species